rnacentral:rRNA from 1 species
GGAAUUUUGGGCAAUGGGCGAAAGCCUGACCCAGCAACGCCGCGUGAAGGAUGAAGUUUUUCGGAAUGUAAACUUCGUAAGAAUGGGAAGAAUAAAUGACGGUACCAUUUGUAAGGUCCGGCUAACUCCGUGCCAGCAGCCGCGGUAAUACGUAGGGACCAAGCGUUGGUCGGAUUUGCUGGGCGUAAAGGGCGCGUAGGCGGCGCGUCAAGUCAGCUGUGAAAUCUUAAGGCUUAACCUUAAGCGGUCAGCUGAUACUGUCGUGCUAGAGUGCAGAAAGGGCAAUCGGAAUUCUUGGUGUAGCGGUGAAAUGCGUAGAUAUCAAGAGGAACACCUGAGGCGAAGGCGGGUUGCUGGGCUGACACUGACGCUGAGGCUCGAAAGCCAGGGGAGCAAA